CCCUAAGCCACCACAGUCUAUUAGUUUUGUUUUGUUUUUUUGGUACCGGGGAUUGAACUCUGGACCUUGCACUUGCGAGGCAGGCGCCAGAACCACUGAGCUAAAUCCCCAGCCCUAUUAGUUUUUAUUUAGGUCAUCAAGAAGCUGUUGAGGCCUCAAUUAUUCGGUCGAAGCACAGGAACAGGGAGACAUUUUAGACGAGAGAACACAUAGUCAUGAAGGAUCCACGGGGGAUCGCAAAGACCUGCCUCCCAGUGGACGCCCCGGGAGUUUGGCCGGCUUCCCCUGAUCAGGCUAAGGCUGCCUGUGGUGACGCACUGCUGAGCACUUCCGUGGGGCUUUGCUGUCCCUGCAUGAGGAGCAAACCCUGAGGUCCUGUGCUGGGCAGUUUACCGCUGAAGUCUGCUCAGUGUGACGGUAAAUAACAGCCCCUUUCCGAGUCCACAGCACACUGAAAAGGAUCGAACUCAGGACCUUGCGAUUUCGAGGCAAGCACAGUGCCACUGAGCUAAAUCCUCGGCCCUCUUGGAUCUCUUUGAUGAAAAGUUUAAAACAAUCUCCAAGGGGAAAAAGAAAGAAGAUUGUAUCCAGCAUGAAAAGAAUGUUCAUUAAAGCCAAUUUUCUGCCGGGUAUGGUGGCACACACCUGUGAUUCCAGCACUCAGGAGGCUGAGGCAAGAAGAUAGCCAUGAGUUUGAGGCCAGCCUGGGCUACACAGUGAGCUCAAGGCCAGCCUGAACUACACAGCGAGAUCCUGUCUCAAAAAAACAAAACAAAACAAAACAAAAACUCAAACCAAACCAAACAAAGCCAAUUUUCUUUAUAACCUACAUUUUCUUUGACAGCAGCUUCAUGGUGAAGUAAGAAUUAUUUUUCAAAUUUAUAAAUCGCAUCACCAGACUGAUGUAGCUCCCAAAGGAUAUCAAGUUGCAACUUCUGAAAACUGAGUAAUAAUAGAAACAUUGAUAACCCUCAAGUGAAGUCUCAUACCUUGCUGCUGUUCUCAGAAAUUAAUAGCUGCCCUGGAGCGUUUUGAACUUACAGAGUGUAUUGAGUGGGGUUUUCCUGUGAUGACUGCCUUCCUACUUCAGAACGUUUUAAUCAGAAACUCAUUUCCAUUCCACCCCAUCAUCACACACCUCUCAGCCAAGACUCCGUCUUCUGCUAGGAUGGAGGCCCCCUCCAGCAAGUUCUGAAGGUGGAGAGCAAUGAUGUGCUACAGCUGAAAGGUAGAACUGUAUCCAAUUAGUGGGCUCCAGUAGAAUCAAAAUAAAGGCCCUAAAUACGCCUCUCACCUUCUCGUAGGUUCAGGGGCUCCUGCAGGUACAGGAAACAGGAGCCAUAACUGAGCAUUCAUCACGCACGAUUUGGUAAAUACUUAGCAUCCAUUACUACGAGCUACCAAUGGAGGUCUGUUUCGAGACUACCUGGGUUUUAUUGUCAGUCCCGGAAGAAGGGAAUCUGUGUCCAUACACACGCAUCCAGGCACUAGGCAAGACGGUGCCAGGGAAGGCCCGGAGCCUCGGCCCGAAGGACGGAGGUGGCGUUCGUGCAGGACCUGCGCUGGGCUGUUCUCUCCCAGCACAGCUGGCCUGGGGCCUCACAGAGCCGUGGGUGCUGACUUCCACAGAGAGCGGCGAGCCACCACCUCCACCGAGGCUGGAAUUCACCCCAAGGUGAUGCCACGGGGAACUGGUGACAGAAGGACUUGUAUUCAUGAUGGCGAAAGGAAAGUCAGCCAGAUUUUGCUACCAAACAAGGUAAAACUUCUGUAAGUUUUUUUAAAAUGCCAUAAAUAAAACUAAAAGGCAAAUGAAGGUAAUGGAAGACAUUUGCAAAAUAUUAACAAAAGAUUGAGGCCCGUGUUCCUCGGCAGAGUUCUUUCCAAUCGGUACAAACAGAACGGGGUCUUUGUUUCUCCUUCUUCUCCGGGUUGUGUGUGGAAGGCUUUGGGGAGAGUUCAGCACCUGCCACACUGGGCGGACACCUUGCCACGCGCAAGGCGAGGCUGCCCCAGCAAUCAAGUCGUGGUCACCUAGGAGAGGGGACAGCACCAGAGCUGUGAUGCGGGGUGUCCAGGCUGAGCACAGCCGGG
ensembl:lncRNA